rnacentral:tRNA from 2 species
UGGGGCGUCGCCAAGUGGUAAGGCAGCGGAUUUUGAUUCCGCCAUGCGGAGGUUCGAAUCCUCCCGCCCCAG